UAGCAUAUCAAUAAGCGGAGGAAAAGAAACCAACAGGGAUUGCCCCCAGUAACGGCGAGUGAAGCGGCAACAGCUCAAAUUUGAAAUCUGGCCCUUACGGGUCCGAGUUGUAAUUUGUAGAGGAUGCUUUUGGCAAGGCGCCGCCCGAGUUCCCUGGAACGGGACGCCACAGAGGGUGAGAGCCCCGUCUGGCUGGCCGCCGAGCCUCUGUAAAGCUCCUUCGACGAGUCGAGUAGUUUGGGAAUGCUGCUCAAAAUGGGAGGUAUAUGUCUUCUAAAGCUAAAUAUUGGCCAGAGACCGAUAGCGCACAAGUAGAGUGAUCGAAAGAUGAAAAGCACCUUGAAAAGAGGGUUAAAUAGUACGUGAAAUUGUUGAAAGGGAAGCGCUUGUGACCAGACUUGGGCGCGGCGGAUCAUCCGGGGUUCUCCCCGGUGCACUUCGCCGUGUCCAGGCCAGCAUCAGUUCGUCGCGGGGGAAAAAGGCUUCGGGAACGUGGCUCCCCUGGGAGUGUUAUAGCCCGUUGCAUAAUACCCUGCGGUGGACUGAGGACCGCGCAUCUGCAAGGAUGCUGGCGUAAUGGUCACCAGCGACCCGUCUUGAAACACGGACCAAGGAGUCGUCUUCGUAUGCGAGUGUUCGGGUGUCAAACCCCUACGCGUAAUGAAAGUGAACGCAGGUGAGAGCUUCGGCGCAUCAUCGACCGAUCCUGAUGUUCUCGGAUGGAUUUGAGUAAGAGCAUACGGGGCCGGACCCGAAAGAAGGUGAACUAUGCCUGUAUAGGGUGAAGCCAGAGGAAACUCUGGUGGAGGCUCGCAGCGGUUCUGACGUGCAAAUCGAUCGUCAAAUAUGGGCAUGGGGGCGAAAGACUAAUCGAACCUUCUAGUAGCUGGUUUCCGCCGAU
rnacentral:rRNA from 1 species